CGCAUUUUCUUCAACCACUAGUAUGUGAAGUUGAUGUGACGCAACAACUAUCAGCUGGUUUUGUUUUGCUUCAUUCUCUGUGCUCCGCUUGAAGUCGUAAAUGUACAAAAAAAACUUGCGUUUUAAUUCAUUAAUGCGAGGCGGAAGAACAGUCGAAGCGUUGGAGUAUAUUUGUCUUCCACUUUAUUCGGACCAUCCAGUUUUUCCUCAGUAGGUCUCCGCUUUGCCACCAUCUUUCCAAGAGGUCCAACCGAUCCCAGGCCUCCGAUCCAGGGCGGAGGGAGGGAAGGAGGUCGUGGGGAAUCGGGAUGGAGACCGGAGAGGGAGCCGACGGUCCUGUUGGGCCGGGGCUGUGCUGCGCCUCCUUCAACCAAGACUCCACGUCUUUGGCUGUGGGCACCAAAACUGGAUACAGGCUAUUCUCUGUGACCUCGGUCGACAAACUGGACUGCAUUCAUGAGAGCACAGAAACUCCAGAUGUGUAUAUCGUGGAAAGGCUUUUCUCUAGCAGCCUGGUUGUGGUGGUGAGUCAGUCCAUGCCACGUCGCAUGAAUGUCUACCACUUCAAAAAAGGCACAGAGAUUUGCAACUACAGCUACUCGAACAACAUUCUUGCAGUGCGACUAAACAGACAGAGACUGGUUGUCUGUCUGGAAGAAUCCAUCUAUAUCCACAAUAUAAAAGACAUGAAACUCCUGAAGACCCUUCUCAACACACCGUCAAACCCAUCAGGUCUCUGCGCUCUCUCCAUCAACCAUUCCAACUCUUUCUUGGCAUAUCCAGGAAGUGACACCAUUGGAGAAAUUAUUGUCUAUGAUGCCAACAAUCUGAGCACUAUGACCAUGAUUCCAGCUCAUGACAGUCCACUGGCCGCCAUCACCUUCAGUGCUUCUGGCACCAAACUGGCCAGUGCUUCUGAAAGGGGCACAGUGAUUCGAGUCUUCUCCAUUCCAGAGGGACUGCGCUUGUUUGAGUUCCGGCGGGGGAUGAAGAGGUAUGUCAACAUCAGCUCCCUUUCCUUCAGCCCAGAUGCUCAGUUCCUCUGUGCCUCAAGCAAUACAGAGACGGUGCACAUUUUCAAGCUUGAACAGCACAGCCCAAGUGGGGAGGAGGAAGCUCCCUCUUGGUCAGCAUAUGUAGGUAAGAUGUUCACAGCAGCCAGUAGCUACCUCCCAGCGCAGGUGUCAGGCAUGAUGAGUCAAGACCGAGCCUUUGCCACUGUCCGGCUCCAGAUGGCAGGUCAGAAGAAUGUCUGUGUCCUGGCAACAAUCCAGAAGCUUCCACGUUUGCUUGUGGCCUCCUCUGAUGGGCAGCUAUUCAUCUAUAACAUUGAUCCUCAAGAUGGGGGUGAAUGCACUCUGGUACAGAGGCACAGGUUGUUUGGAUCAGAUAAGGAGUGGGAGGAGACUGAGAAAUCUGAACUUAUGGAGCCACCGCAAGCAUGCCAGUCCUAUGCUGCCACUGUGGCCAUCCCCACCUCUGGACCCAUUACAGCCACUCUCACAGGCUACUCAGAGGAUGGGGGAGCUAAGAAGGGUGAGGUGAUUCCCGAGCACGAGUUUGCAGCAGGGCCCGUGUGCCUGGAUGACGAAACUGAAUUUCCUCCCGUGAGCAUUCGCUAACCUCUCCACGUCUAAGCGGCGGUGUUGCAUUCCAGUGUAUGGGGUUGUCUUGUCCCUCUGUCCACAAGCACUCAAACUAAAUAAAUUGGUGCCAUGACGGAUCUGGGCGAGGCAAGGGGAGACGACCGUGAGAGGGUAGAGAACAGGUGGAGGCUGCAACUGUCACAGGAGGAUCCUCGGUGCAUGAGCAAGGACAAACAAAU